rnacentral:tRNA from 1 species
GGAGAUGUGGCUUAGUUAGUAGAGCAUUUGCCUAACAUGCAUGAAGCCCCAGGUUCAAUUCCUAGCAUUUCAU